rnacentral:rRNA from 2 species
GACGUAGGGGGCCAGCGUUGUUCGGAAUUACUGGGUGUAAAGGGUUCGUAGGCGGUGUGGCAAGUCGGGAGUGAAAUCUCUGGGCUCAACCCAGAGACUGCUUCCGAAACUGCUGUGCUUGAGUGUGAGAGAGGCUCGUGGAAUUGCAGGUGUAGCGGUGAAAUGCGUAGAUAUCUGCAGGAACACCCGUGGCGAAAGCGGCGAGCUGGAUCACUACUGACGCUGAGGAACGAAAGCUAGGGGAGCAAACAGG